CCUCUAGCUGUUUUGAGACUGCAAUUCCCAUCAUCCGUGACCACUGUUAGCGAGGGAUGAUGGGAGUUGUAGUCCAAAAACAGCUGGAGG